rnacentral:rRNA from 1 species
UACGUAGGUCCCGAGCGUUGUCCGAAUUUAUUGGGCGUAAAGCGAGCGCAGGUGGUUUAUUAAGUCUGGUGUAAAAGGCAGUAGCUCAACCAUUGUAUGCAUUGGAAACUGGUAGACUUGAGAGCAGGAGAGGAGAGUGGAAUUCCAUGUGUAGCGGUGAAAUGCGUAGAUAUAUGGAGGAACACCGGUGGCGAAAGCGGCUCUCUGGCCUGUAACUGACACUGAGGCUCGAAAGCGUGGGGAGCAAACAGG